ACGACUUCCAUCCUAUAGACGGAAGUGUCGGGAGAACUUGUGAUACUCUCCCUCGAAAUGUGACGACUUCCAUCCUAUAGACAGAAGUGUCGGGAGAGCUUGUGAUACUCCCCCUCGAAAUGUGACGACUUCCAUCCUGUGGACAGAAGUGUCGGGAGAGCUUGUGAUACUCCCCCUCGAAAUGUGACGACUUCCAUCC
rnacentral:lncRNA from 1 species